CAAUCCCAGCGCUGGGGGCCCGGGCUGCGGGAACGCCCUCCCGGAACGAAGCGCUUCCCGGUGCCUUCAAGGUUGAGGGGUCUUGACAGGCCCACUCAAGAGUCUAGACUGAAUUCAGGAAGUCCGGUUCCAGAUGCUCACCGCCCCCUCCCCACGCGUCUUCGGAGUCUCGAGUUUCCAGUUCAGGAGUCCGGUGUUUCCACGGAGGACCAUCCCCUCGAAAGACGACCCCCGUUUGCCAAGCCUCACCCCAUCUGCUGGAAGACCCUACAUCGCCUCUCCACUGCACCCGGAGUUCCCUCUCUGGCUCCCGGUCUCAGUUUGACUACCCCGCGCAGAGACACACGCCUUCUCUUCCUUCCCCCGCACCCCGAACCCCCAUCCUCUGGGUCUGAGAUUCCCCCCGGCACUUUCACUCAAGGCCUCUGGGUGCCAUCUUCCCCACCCAGAAAACGCCUUCUCUCUAGCCUGGGAGCCCGGGGAAAGUUCACUGGGUGACCUCCGGAGCCAGGGGCCACUCUCCUCGCUGUCUCCAAGCCCUAAGCCCCCUUACAGCCUUGGCUGACGCCAGCCAGAAAGAGUCAAAGUCAGCCAGCCUGGAGGCUAUGGUAGCCAAUGCCCCCCUCCCCCACCCCCUUCCCAUCCCCAUCCCGAUCUUUAUCUCGCCUAGCGGUCUCAGCGCCGCUAGCCCCUCCCUCCUGACCCACAUCUUUCCCCACCUCCCUCCUUAAAUGCACCUGGAGUAACCCAACGACAGCCCGGGAUGACAAGCGCCUGGCUGCUCACCUUGACAAGUGUCCUCUAUUCACUACCAUUUAUUCAUUCAUGAGAGCAGGAACGUAUAACCCGGACCCCUAGAACGGUACCCAUCCCCCUGCCUCUUAGAACAAACACCCCCCCACUACGGAGCCUCUAAGAACCUGAGAGACACACGUUAAUGGUUUCCUUGGGGACCUUCUGGGAACACUCAGCAGGUAGAUCCUGCCACCCUGUGCGAAUAACACUAGCAACAAACUUGC